rnacentral:lncRNA from 7 species
AGGAGACUGCAUGUAGUGGGGGCUGGGGGUUGGAGGUCUCCCAUAUCUGUACUCAUAGCUGAGAAGUAGGACUUUCGAGCUUUUACAGAUCAGAGUGAAAUUUCGGCCCCAUGAAGUCAGUGCUAACAGCGUGCUAACUUCAAGAAGCACCAAAUUCAAGCAGUUGUUGUAUCUUCCUUCAUCUGUCUCCUCGUGUCACCAUGUCUACAGUACAAUCUGCAGCAACAGACCACAGUCCAUCAGAAGGAGUUACAUUCAUAAGAGGCACCAAGAGGUAAACAGUAUGUGUCUCAUCCCUUGACAGAAAUCUUCAGAUUUGCUUAACUUCAUGCAUCUGAGAAUUUCCAGUUUAUCUACAAAAUAUUUGAGAAUGACUCCAGGCUGGUGCCAGGUCUCUGCACCUCCUUGGUCUCACUCUGUAGGCAGAAGCUCUCACUGACGUGUGGUCGUCCAAGGCACUCAUGAUGAAGGAAAGACAACUGAGUAACAGUCUACAAGGUAUUAUGAGAGUGAGAGACCAAAAACCCAUUUGAAAUAACUAUGGAGAUUCUAACCCUAGUAGCUUCAACACACUCUUUCAAAAUGUUGUGCUCCUCGGUGGCUGAUUGUGCUGCUCCUUGGUCCAAAGGUGGCCACCAGGUAGGUCUGAGCAUUGGCUGACAGGUUGGCAAAAAUGACUGGCCUUCAGCAGCUCAGCCAGUCUGCAAACCAGGUCCAAGAUUUCUGGAGGAAAAGUGAUGUGGCAGUGCACCAUGAUCCCUUCUGCUCCAACUGGCAGUUUGUAAACAGCUACAAUGUAGAGACGACUAAUUAUUUUAACACCAAUGGGUCAGAAGCUGCUUGAGACCACUGGAUGGGCACUGGAGCUCCUAAACAUUUUGUAGCUUCUCUUCAGACAGGAUGAAUUGAACCCACUGUAGGGGGAAAGAGCAUCAUUUCCAGAGAGUAAAUGAGACGUCUGAAUCAUAGGCAACUGCUCGGCUUGUCUUGUGGACUGCCAGUGUCCCAGUGCACAUAACUGGGAAAGAUCCAGAAGGAAUCAAUUUCCACAAUCCAGUGGUUGACAUGAAGUGGAAAACAUUCAAGGAGGGUAGAAAACAAAUAAACAAACAAAUGAA